CAGUCGCCGCGGUAACACGUAGGUGGCAAGCGUUGUCCGGAAUUAUUGGGCGUAAAGGGCUCGCAGGCGGUUUCUUAAGUCUGAUGUGAAAGCCCCCGGCUCAACCGGGGAGGGUCAUUGGAAACUGGGAAACUUGAGUGCAGAAGAGGAGAGUGGAAUUCCACGUGUAGCGGUGAAAUGCGUAGAGAUGUGGAGGAACACCAGUGGCGAAGGCGACUCUCUGGUCUGUAACUGGCGCUGAGGAGCGAAAGCGUGGGGAGCGAACAGGAUUAGAUACCCCUGUAGUCCCUGUCUCUUAUAC
rnacentral:rRNA from 1 species